GAUGAACGCUGGCGGCGUGCCUAAUACAUGCAAGUCGAGCGAACGGACGAGGAGCUUGCUUCUCUGACGUUAGCGGCGGACGGGUGAGUAACACGUGGAUAACCUACCUAUAAGACUGGGAUAACUUCGGGAAACCGGAGCUAAUACCGGAUAAUAUAUUGAACCGCAUGGUUCAAUAGUGAAAGACGGUUUUGCUGUCACUUAUAGAUGGAUCCGCGCUGCAUUAGCUAGUUGGUAAGGUAACGGCUUACCAAGGCAACGAUGCAUAGCCGACCUGAGAGGGUGAUCGGCCACACUGGAACUGAGACACGGUCCAGACUCCUACGGGAGGCAGCAGUAGGGAAUCUUCCGCAAUGGGCGAAAGCCUGACGGAGCAACGCCGCGUGAGUGAUGAAGGUCUUCGGAUCGUAAAACUCUGUUAUUAGGGAAGAACAAAUGUGUAAGUAACUGUGCACAUCUUGACGGUACCUAAUCAGAAAGCCACGGCUAACUACGUG
rnacentral:rRNA from 1 species